CUUAAAGGCUCCAAGUCAAAAAUUGCUGGAAAAUGUACUGUGGGGUGAAUACUUUUAUCAGUCUUUCUCGACAUCAUUUCAUCAAGUUCUCAAGCUAAAUAAACAACUACUUCAGUGGUGUUGCAGCAAGUUCUCUGGGCUGAAUCCCUUCUGACCAUUGUUGUGAAGAUUCUGGUGUCCCAGUGCCUGAAAAUAGGUAAACCUCCCUGCCCCACUUCCACACCUCCCCAAUGCUCCUCACAGAUGCAGCUUUUGCCAGCCUUCUUGUGUGAUUUCAGUCCCAGGGGAUGUCAUUUAUACCACAUAGGACUUAUGCAUAAAUCUUUGCAACCUGCACACACCCUCAGUCACAGUCCUGAUUUCUGAUGAUCAAAACCCAUUUGUGCAUAAGGGACUUAAGGAUAGAUGGGAGGCCAGUGAGUCUUUCCACCUGAUGCAUGCAAAGGUACAGAGCUCUGGCUAGGCAUAAUGGUGAGGCUGUCAAACCUCAAUCCACCUCUCUGCUGCCUCACCUUCCCAAUAGUUGCCCCUUUUCCCUUGACAUGAAGCCUCCUCAUAGGUCCCUAGUUUGGGUCCCACCACUCAUUACCUCCUUCAUAUUGAUCCAUUUCCUGUCAAGCCCAGAUCUGACCCUUUUCUCUCAUCUCAAAAAGUCUUAGCAGACUUUUCUCUUUCCCUCAGUGCUGUACUAUGUGAUUUGCCAGGAGGAAAUGAAUCUUAUGCAUUAAUUUGAACUAAGGCUAAUGGCUGACACUAAUUUGAUGAAUUGCUCACAUAUUUUAAUGCCUUCAUUUAGGGAUGAGUAGUAAGGGACCAUUACAUACCUAGGCUGAGCCUUUGCAAGAGAUGUUUCCAACAGUGGGACUAUUCCACUCACAUGAGCAAUAUUGU
rnacentral:lncRNA from 1 species